AUGCCAUUGAUUCUCGAACACGGGAGUUACAGGGUUUCGAGGAAGCUAACUUUCAGGACUGUAAAUAUCAGGACACAAAUCACAAGAAACGGAAAGUUUUUUAUAGAAUACUAGAAUAAAGGAAACUGUUUAAAAGCAAAAGGCAAUUCGCUGCAUCAGAGUACUGUGGAUUUUAUGGAUGGCAAUUUCAAGAGCAUCAAAUUUCAUUUUUUGUUGCAUAUAAAGAAAACAGAGUCAUUAACUGAAAAAAGAGAACAAUUGUAUUGUCAUAAAAUCAAAUGUAUAUAGUUUUGUACAAAGUGUAAAUAAUAUGGGUAGAGGACCAGAGGUUCAUUUUGAGCUAUCUUAAUAAAAUACUGUUAUUAAGUUUAGAUAGAGAUUGUAACAAAUCGGGAGUUUUAGGAAUUAAUAUAAAAUGAUUUCAGAGAAUUUGAAAAACUUGUAGUUUUUGAAAAACUCUGGAUAUGGUACCGUGAAAGGCCAUUAUUUCCAUUAGCACGGAAAUAUCAAAUCGGCGGCAGUUCAAAAACCAACAUGUUAUUUUGUUGUAUUCAAGUUAUUCAAUAUGGAACAGUUUACCAGCUAAUAUAGAUGAAAAACAAGCUCAUACACAUUCUUCAGUUUAUGCAAAUCAUUUUUCUCUGCGAAUGGAUGUUGCUGGAAUUUGUAGACAUUUGUAUCGAUAUUUGAGUCCCUAAAUAAAUUUCUCCUUGAUGAUGAUGAUGAUGAUGGAGCAUUAAAAUAUAACUUUGCAUCAGUUUUUCGCAGUACUAUGAACAACCUGUCACACUGGAGGAAAUUUAUCCAUUAAGAUAAUUUUUUCCGUUAAAAAAGUACCAGCUUCGUUUUCAAAAUCAAACUUAAUUGAUUGGCGAUUCCCCUCGUGUUGUUAUUUCAACAUAGCAGGUAGAAAUGCUAGUGUAGUACAUAAGACUUUAGAUACGAGAUUCAAUGUAUCUAGACAGUAUUAAUAGAGAAAAGCUUUUCAUCGCUGUAGUACCUUAUUACCGACAGCUUCUUCAAAAAGUUGGUGUUACCAUGCCUCACUCUGCACAUUCAAUACCCCUCGUUCCGCAAGAAAAGAGAAUCGGUUUCGCAAGAUUAUAAAAUAAGACAAACUUUAACUCAAUUUUCUCGAUAUCCAGAUUAAAACCUUCUCACAACUAGCCUAAAAUAUAACAUGCCAUAUAUAGGCUGGAAUCCCACAUUUAUCAUAGAUAAAAGGGGGCAUAAAAUGCUGAAUGUUUUGUGAAAAUGACAACAAAUUUGCCUCUAUCAUUUCAUAAAACCUUUCAAGUUUUUAUUUCAGGACAAGCAUCACACCACUUUGGCAACUAAUUUAACAAACUUUAAUUUGAAAACGUUUUGAAAGGAUACUAGCACAGCCAUCUAAAUAAUGUGAUUCAUAUGAUGAGAAAGGUGUUUAAUUGAACGAAGCAUUCUUGUAUCUUGCUCAUGAAUGCCCCCACCUGUCAAUCAUGUGGGUCCAAGCAAACAGAUCUCACAGGCUGUAAUAAACUAUUCAUAACUAAUUGAAAUCUGUAAUACUUCCAGCAAGGCUAUGUACGUUGCCUUAGUAAUUAGCAAAUAAGCUUGUUGCGUUCAAUAAGCAUGUAAACCCGUAGUCUUGAUAAACAAGUGACGAAAAGGCAUUUCAGUUGUGUGGGAUCAAACAGGAACAGGAUCUCAAAUUGGAAUCUAAGACGUGUUUAUGGGUCUCCUCCAAGAUCAUUCAACGUUUCAACUCCAAGAUUUCAACCUAAAGGAAAACAUUCAAGAAUGAAAGAAAAUGAUUGCCGAAAUGUUUCGCAAUAAUUUGAGGACAUGCAGAAACAAAAUUAUUUGUUGAUUCACUGCAAAGCUUCAAACAGAGACAUUGUCACUUACAAAAAUAUAUAUACAACCACAUCCAAGCAGUGAAUGUAAGAAACGCUCAAAAUGACUCGAAAGGAAGAUAAAAUUCACAAAUUAGCAACAAUAUAUGGUAGCAAAUCACCACAUGUCAAAAAAAGGAAGAAAAAGGUCGAAAACAAAACACCAAAGCCAUCCCCAAUUACUCCACCAAUGGUAGAAUCAAAGCCAUCUCCAAUUAAUAUUCCACCAAUAACAGAACUUGAAUACAAAGCACCAAAGUCAUCCCCGAUUAAUACUCCGCCAAUAAUACAAGGUGAAGAAUCCGAAAAGCUUGAGCCUGAUAGUCACCCUGUUGAGGAGGUAAGCGGGAAAAGAAAAUUAACUGGUAUGAAAAUGAUCUCAUUACCUCCCAUUUCCGAAGACCGGCCGUUAAGCCAGUCUGAGACAAGGGUACCCUUAAAGGAAAAUCAUCGAAGAUUGUCCUUACCGAUAAUCAACUCAAAAAAUUGUGUUGUGUCACAAGUUUUGAAACUUGACGAAGAAGGUAGUGAAGAGAAGAUAGAUGUCUACCAAAAGCCAGAUGGAAAUAAGGCAUGGGAACCAGUGACGUCACCUGGGAAUAUAAGCAACAACAAUUCACGACUGAGACGAAGAAAAAGCAGUGUAUUUCAUGCACAAGUAUACACACCGGCAAGUAGAGGAGCCAGACGACGGACAAUCCAUUCUAAGGAUGUAGCAGAACUUAUAGAGGCAUACGAAAAGAAGGAUACAAUUGAAGACCUUACUACAGAAGACACCAUGAAAGAUGGAAACAGAUUUCGUCGCGUUGCAAACUUGGUUGGGAAAGCAGCAGUGUUAAGCAAACUUUUAGUGGAUGACUUGAAUUUGCGGUACAUUAAAGCAGAGCUUUUUGAACCUGAUUAUAACGACAAAUACAAAAGAUUAGCCACUCCAGACAUCGAUACUGACGAAGAAAAUGAAGAGGCUAUUUUGACAGAAAUGUAUAGUCAGAUGAAAUAUGAAUCUGGAUCUCAAAGUGAGGCAAAAGCAACAGCUGGGAGUUCUGACGACGAAGAAGAAACAGACAGUGGCAGUGAUGAUUUGGACAGCGAUCGCUUCUCCACACCAAAAAGUGACAGACCAAACAAGACGGAAACUGCGAAUCUGGAAAGCAAUGAGGAAGAAAAGGAGAGUGAUGAAAGUGGCUCUGUGACGUCAGAUCUGAUACCAGAUGACGUCAAAGAAUUGAUAAAGACUGAGGCCAUGAGACAUGAUAACGAGCAUCUGUUUGAGUUGGGGAUUUGGAAACCUGAUGCCUUUGUAGACAAUGCCCAGGAGGCGGACGAUGAAGAAAGCGAAGAUGACUGGAGCUUGAAAAGCGAUGCGGAGGAGGACGAUGACAAAAGCAUUUCAAAUGCACCUCAGACACCUGAGCCCGAAGCACCAGAACCAGAGGUAAUUGCUAAAGUGACACCCGAGCCAGAGGCAUCUACACCAGAAGUAAUAGAUGAAGAAAUGCCUGUGCUGCCAAAAGAUGUCGCGUUACCGACUGGAGACACACCAGACAUAUUAUCAUUUUCAAGUGAAACCGAAUCGAGCUGCGUACCUACAAUUUAUGCCUCGUACUUUGAUGAAUAUGAAAGUGACGUGUUUUCAAAAAGACUUCUGGAGAAUAUUUUCUUCUUGCCUUCUUCUGUUCAUAGUGAUGGAGAUUCGGAUAUGUUUUAUUGCGUUCCAGUAUCAAACGCUUCUAACACACAAACGCCUGAUUAUUUUUGCAAUCGAAAACAGAAAGUACAUAAUGAUAAUCAUGGCGUAAGACGGUCGAAGAAAAGAAGGCGAAAGGACCUAGAUGAUCAGUAUGUGAGAUCUUCAAUUAAAAAAUACGCAGUGCACGAUGCUACUAUCGUCCAGUACGGAGGAGCAACGAAAGCUUUUAGGCUACGAAUGGCUAAACUAGGGAAAGAUCCGAAGGAGACUGAUGAUAAGAUUAAUACUAAGCUGGAAAGAAAAAUUCUUAGAAGAUUAAAGAGACGUAAGAAAGCAAAAAAACUGACCGCUGAAAAUUUGAAAAAGCUGCCUAAUAUUGGCAAAACAGCAAAGGUAUUGAGGUGGGUGACAAUUCAUAAACGUAACAUGAAGAUGAAUGUGGUAUACCAGAAUAGCUGGACUGGGAACGAGAAUCUAAGCUCGUCGAUGCGACUAAGGGGGGCAGGUGGGGGAGCAGCAAUCAAGGAAGAAAGGACAGUCAAGCGAAAGGUAUCUCUUGGUGUGAGAAGUGUCGGCGAAGGAGAAAAUUUUGAAGGGGUAGAACAACGGGAGGGAGAAGAAGCAAACGAACAAGGAUCCUCCAUUGAAGAAAGGGAACGCGCUUCAGGUGUCAAAGAACAAAAUACAACUGUAGGGGUGAAAGAGGGAGAAAGAAGGAAAAAGAAAUUUCGGAAAAGGAGAAAGAAGAGAAGAUGUGAUGAUCAGGAAAAAGACGAAGGCAUUGCAUCUGAAGAUUCUUUAGUCAUCAUCAAGAAUUGGCAAGUUCAUCAGAAGAGAAAAGGAGAAGUUGACAGCUCGGACGAGCAAGACAAAAACAAUGGCAACGAGAGCCCAAGAAGUGAGCAUUCAAGUAACCAAAAGUAUAAGAUACGCAGCAGUGACGCCGAAUCUGGCUUGUCGGUUUAUCCUCCCGAAUCUCCUGGGCUGGAAUCAGCUUCAAAUAGAGUGCAAACACCGGAAACAGAGCAUGAACCAGAAAUAGAAGAAGACUGCAAAGACAACAAGGAAAGAAACAGAAGCACAGCAACUUCGCAUUGGAAAUUGUUGCAGCCAAAGUUACAAAAGGCCCAACGCAGACGCGCAAUCAAUACGCAAUUUGUGGAGAUGACAAGGCAGCUUUUCGCCCAACUUUCACUUCGAACGAAAGAAUACACCAAGCUGCCUCCAAUCAAACACAGAAACAGAGCUUUUUCAAUGGCAACCAGUCGAUUUAGCAACUUUUCUCAGAAAAAAUCGCCACGAUCGACCAGUGAAAGGAGUAAGAACACAAACACCCCCGUAUCUAGUAACCAAUAAAAUCGAUGAAAGGUUGCUGCCCAAAGAAGGUCGUUGUAUGUUUGAAUAAUGACAUUUUAGUGCGUAGCUGGCAGCAUCGUUUGGGAUCAUUGAGGCGAUAUUGAAGCGACGUACAACGUGCCUUGAUUCUAUUAUAUUGAAAAUAUCAUUAUUGCCGUUCCGUUUUGAUAAAACAGCGUUUUCUUCAGUGAAAAGAUUUCGUUCCCGCACUACACCUUGCCGAUUGGCGCUGCCACUUGAGACUUGAGAUUUUCUGACGAUUACUGUAAUUGUAAUAUAUUUUUCUUCAGUGACAAUUAAUGACGAAGUGUAAAUAAUUAAAUAAACACUGAAGCAUUGUUUUUAAUGCAUACAAAGCAUAUUGUUCAGCAUAGACGCAGGUAGUUAUUUCAAAAGUGGGGGGGGGGUGAGAGUCAAAAAGGGGAACUCUUGUUAGCUGCAAAUAGGUCAUUUACAUGUUUCUGAAAAAAGUGGGGGGGGGGGGCACGUGCCCCGUGUACCCCCUUAGUCCCGAUGGCUAUGUCGACAGGUACCCUGGGUACCAGACUCACUAUAUAUGAAAUAAAAUAGAGAGUCUGGUAUUUUAUAUAGUGAGUCUGGUACCCAGAGUAUGUCGAAAGGUAGGUUUUACUGAGAUUGUCAAGUGUAAAGUAUCCAUGGGAAAGGGAGGUCUUGGUCUAAAGCAGUUCUGUUGGCUAGACUAAAAUUGAAUCAUUGGCUAGAUCAAGUUCUCCGAAAAUUGUUUCAUUUACUAGGUUAUUAUCAACAGAAAUGGGUUGUCAAGAUGAACUCCCGACUUUCGACUAAACAUUGUCUUUACCUCGGCCCAACCAAAACUGCAAAAAUAUAUAACAAAAAAAUGUAAGACCAGACGUCCAAAAAAAGUAUACCCUUGCUUGUGCUAUUAGCCAUUAUUCAUCCUAGGGCUUGGUGUGAAAUCCCCCCGAAGAAAUUUUCUCGGUUUGAAGGAAAGAUCGAAAUUUAUAGAGAGAUUGAAAUCUAUAAUUUGAUUUGGCCCUCAAUCAAUUUCUCACUUUGAUAGAUAGCAAAUUCACACUACUAUUUCUCGCCGACAGCCUUACUGAUUGUGUUCUGUUUUGUUAAAACAUAAUUGGCAUCAAGUCUAACUUAAGGUUUAGAUAAAAUUGUAAAAUUUUUCAGAAUCAAGCGAGGAUCAUCAUCACUAAAGAUAAACAUCAAGGGCUUGCUUCUCUUCUUAGGGCUUUUCCUGACGAUAAAUAUCAAAAGAAUUCAAAAACUCUCUAUUAAAAUAUUCUUACAUUAAAGCAAAAUUCAAGUUUUAGAUAAUUUGAAUUAUUUUCUUCUCUAAUUAUUUCUAACAAACUUUGGCAGUUUUAGAUAAAAGUAAAUAGCCACUACUUUACACUUCUUUUCUCUUUUCCUAAUGCAAAAACCAAAUAGCAUCAGCUUGAAAACUGACAAAAAUAAAUACGAAACUUGAAAUAAGUAGCCUGCGCUCCAGGCCCCUUACUAGAAACUAGCUGUGGAGAAGCAUACCCUCUGACAACGAAACCAACUUGCACAUGCUAUAAUAACCCUUCAUAUUUACACUGGCUAAUUUGUUCGGUAAAUAAAAUAACUGGUAUCAAUCAAAGACCUGUACUUUACAUCAUAAAAUUUUAAAAUUAUAAGAAUCAAAGUUAAAAAAUAGCAAGAAUUAAAGUUAAAAAAUCUACCAGAAUAGAAGUUAAAAAUUUAAAAGAAAAAAUAUAAAAUACACAAGAAUUAAAUGAUAUUUGAUACAUUGUUAAAAAUCUAGGUUUACCUAAUUUUUUCCUUACUGGAUGCUUGAAUUUCAAAAGUGACGUUCGAGUCUACUAGUCUUAUAUAUUUCAAUAUGCACCGGGGUCAUAUGGUUUAUUAUGAAAGGGUGAAGUCUCCCUUUUUGAAAAUUGAAAACCUCUUUUAUGACUGCCUGAAGAAAUUUAUUGAUUAGCCCCUCAACUUAUUGUGACGUUAUAAGCCUCGUAUUUAUGUUAUGUUGGGCAUGCGCCCGGUUUGUUAUGUAUUGUUAUGCGUGAGAAUACAAAAUGGAGUACUGAAGUUCGAGUUGGGGUGUUCUUUCGUUGUUACAUACCGGAUAAUCUUACACUUAUAGAGACAUUUUGCCCUCUCCAUCAAUUCUUCUGUCCCUUCUGUGCAUUGCUGCCUACCUUUGAAAACAUCCAUCAGAAUCCUCUGAGAGACGAGGCCCUCCCCUUUCCUCUUCGCCCGUUCUUCAUCCUUUGACUCUCUGAGGCUCUGGCACCCAGGGCACCAAGCCUUUUACAUUCUUUUGGAGUUAAAAAUCACAUCAAUUGUGAGUUAUUAGACUAGCUAUCGAGUGUUGCAUUGCGUAAUUUCGAGUGUUUCAUUUUCCUUCUUGAUUUAAUUUCCACUAUAUCUCAAGUCUUUCUAGUCUCUUUUUCCCUCUUACCUUGUUUUUUAGCUAAAGUUCAAAAUCUAGCGACACAAAUACACAAUUUUAAUGGAUUAUGUGCAAUUUUCAUGGCUCCAAAUGUGAAAUUAAGAACUAUUAAGGAAUUUUUAGUACUACAAUUUGAUCAAAAGUGGUAGAAAAAUAAGGAACUUCUAGAAAUAGGCCUCGAGCUAAGUUCCUAAUAAAUAAAAAGCAUGUACAUGGAUGAGUAUGCUUUAGCCUGGGAAAGCCCCUAUUCUCGACCUUAAAACUUAAAAUAGCCUUCAAAUUAGCGCCCAUCGCAGGCAAACUUUCUCAAGUAACGAUAUAAUUAAAAUUCGACGAAAGUUUGUACCUGCAAACGAACGUCUUUUUGAUAGUAAUUGAAAGUUUUUCGUAUUUUGGAUGAUUCUAGACCAAAAGAACCCCAAUAAAUCCCAGGGUUGAAAAUUUGAGUGUUGUCUAAAUCUAGGGAAGUUUUUUACCUGAAGGAUAGUUGGCAUGCUGAGUCGGAAAAUUGACAUCAUUUUGUUCAAAUAUGAUUAAAAAUUAUAAACACGUUUCUUAGUACAAAACCUGGUAAUACAUCUACCAAUAUACUUAGUCACUGCUCUGUAGGGCAGUUCUAGUUUUAACCCAAAUAUUUGGGACAUAUCAGAGAUAAUUUGUAGAGCACAAGGCAGCACAAAAAGUCUAGGUAGACCUUACAUUGAGUCUAAAUUCAUCAACCCCAGACUGGACAGUUGUACCAGCAAAAACGUUGAUCCAGCAAAAAGAGGUACCUUUUAAGAAAUGAGGGGGGCUAAAACUAUCGGGCAUGGGUCUAUACUUCCUAAUAAUGCCCAUUCAUCGGCACCAUUCGUAUUGAAAAGUGCUGAAAACUGUGCCCAUUUUAUUUUUCCUCACAAGCAUCGUAGUUUUAACUUGCAAAUAACCAAAGGGCAGACAAACACAACAUUUUUUGCAAUAUUGAAAAAAGCUACUUCAGAAUAAAGAUAAGAGACUACAAUUGUUGCCAGGCUACUUUGUCUCGCUCUUAUCACACUUUAAGAAGGGUAUUGUCAACAAAAACCACAGGAAAUAGAUCUGGUGUGUGGGCGGCUGAGAAGGCGAACUCUGUUCUCGGAAAGACGCAUGGACUGAGUAAUCACUGAGACUAGAUUGAGAGCGACCUGGCAAUUCGAACUGCUGUUCUUUCACAAAAUGGUCUGAUGUGCAGAGCUUGCUGUGUGGAAAAUGGCAAAGUUGUUCAUCGACAAAAAUGACAUCGCUUCAAGGGCUGCAUGGUUUUAUGUGCUAAUGCAUGAAGCACCCAUUGAAAUAUAUGAAUUCAAUCCAAACAAUGAGGAACUAGAAGAGGAAAACCCCUUGAAAAUGGUGCCUUUCUUGAUUGAUGGUCAUGUGAAGGUAUGGGGAAGCCAAGCAACAAUCUUUUACAUUGCUGAGAAAUAUAGUGCUUUUGAGGGCCUUGGGAAGACAUUUGAAGAAAGAGCUAAGACGGAAUCCAUUUUAGCAUGGGCUAACACAACUCUUUAUAGGACUGUCAUUACAGACUUUGUUGCACCACAAAUAUAUGAAGAUGAAGCACUACCAGGUGAAAGCAGCAAAAUUCAGGUGGAAUUUGCAAGAAAGUCUUUAACUGAGCAGCUGGAUGUUCUAGAAGGGUCAUAUCUAAAGAUAAAGAACUACAUGAUUCAGGAUAGUGUCCAUUUUGUUGACUAUUAUGUUGGUAUGAUUUUGUCACUUUUAGAUAAAGUGAACUUUGAUCUAGCAAAGUGGCCAAAAACGAAGAAAUGGUGCAAUGAAAUAAAGAAGAAAAUGUCUAAAAAUAUAGAAUUGUUUCAUGAACAAUAAUAGAUUUGCAUUAGCAAUAAGAGGAGAAAAUUAUAUUUAUUACAAAGGAAAAAAAUAAUACUUUAUAGAACCUUUGGUAGUAUUAUGGUUCAUAUAAAAAACAAUAUGUCUUUUAUUGAUAAUCAAACUAAAGCCUCUUCGUCAGAUGCAGCACUCCAAAUGCUGAGCAAAAUGUGAUGAAAUCAGCCCUGUCCACAAUAAAAGAUUUGAUGUCACCUUUUGUAUUCCUAAAAAGCCUAGUCCAAUUGCAAAGGGAUAAACUGAAAAUAUUCUAACUGGCACUAUUUUUCAUGAAUAAAUACAUUUUUCAUGAUUGGUUUAUAAUUUUACCACCUAGAGUUUCCAAUACACCUAUUAAACAACAAGACAGCUCUGUGCCUUACAACAAUAGAAAAUGCAAGGAGGAAUACAUUUCGGAAGAGCUUCUUAGCAAGUUGUUUGAAUCUAACAACACAAUCUUAAAAGAACUUUUUUACCUAUCUUUUACAAAAUAAUUUAUUAAAGCAGCAAUAGCUAAUUAUCUAUUUUAUAGCAAGCAUUUUGUUGCCCUGCUUAAAAAUAUGUGGGUGAUUUUUAACUUCGUAAAAAAGGAAAUUACACCCUAGACCAAGACAAGGUAUACUGAGGGGCAAAUCACUCCAAGAAAAUCUCAUACACCUUUAGUGAAAAUUCUAUUGUUUUAUCUGAAAAUCCCCAGAAAUCCUUUUGUUUUAGGUAAAAUCUCAUACGCUAUUUGCAAGAGUGAACUGCCCCUCGAGCUAUACAAUGUCCUAUUAAAAACUUCAAAAAGGGAAGAAUUUAAAAAGUAAAGCAUGAAAUUAGGUUUUUCAACUGUGUUGUAGCAAAUGGUAUUAUUCUCAAAACAUCGCCUGAAUGUCAUAUUUCCUAAAACACCUUAAUAACCUUCACUCAGCCCUACAGUUUUAUUUUGAAAAGAAAUAAAUGGAUUCCUUGCCAUUUCUUGAUGUUUAUUUUAAAGUCUUGCACUUGAUUUCUUAACAGUGAUUAUUGUAAACUUUCAAUGUUACACAUACACUUGAUAGAAUUAUAUUUGCUCAAAACAAAAGAAAAUCAGCCUUAUCAAAACAUUGACUCAAAGGCUGCUAGUGUUUAAAUCCAAGUCAAAACUUGGCUCAAAAUUAAAUAAGGAUACUAUAAAAGGUACUAAAAAAAGAUAAGGGUUGUCCGAUAGGGCCCCGGUACAGAGUUUAUCUAAAACUACCUUGGAUGGGUAAAAUUCCCUUGUGAUUGAAGAGGCAAUUUCAAAAUUAAUAUUUUGCUGUUAAUACUUGUAUAAUUUUUCAGUACAAAAGGGUCCUUCUAUCCAUUCAAAGAGAUUGUGCUCUUACCAUCCAAAAAAUAAUUCAUGAGUUUUUAUGCCACGUGAUUCUUGCUACGUAGGUAGAACAACACAGAGUUUCAGUUCAUUUUCAGUUCAUUUUCAAUGAAGAUUGGAUGAUAGAUUAAAACUGCCCUACUUACCUCUUCU